rnacentral:lncRNA from 1 species
AAAGUUCAGUUGCUUUUACUAUAAAAAUACCCGCUGAGGAUCAGCUCCAUGAACAAACAAAUUCAUUGCAUUGCAUUACAGUACAUCAUCAACGAUGAUGGAUGGUUACACACCCCAAUCCAAAAGGAAAAACGAGAGAAUUAAGGGCAAAGUCAGAAGCACACAUGUAGGACAACGCAUACACAAGCAUACACAGCUCAGAUACAAAGCAACGACAUAACGAGAUGAUAUAACUCGUGGAUUCUGCAUACUCUUGAUAGGAAACACUGAGCAAAACUUGCCUCCUAAUAAUAAUAAUAAGAAAAUAAGCUCGUGUGCUUUCGCCGUCAGAUCUAGACGCAGCACAGGUCGCACAGCCAGCAGCAGCACAGUGCGGCGACACUGAAAAGCAUCCAUCACCGAAAUUAGUGGCAGGCUCUUACAACGUUGUGAUGCGGCAGGUGAAUUUAUAUACUAGCUCAAGCAUAUGAAGUUAAACAUAAAAUGUGUAACUAAACACGAGAGCUUGUGCGUGCCUACCAUGCAUCGAGGAAACCAGUUUUGCGGCCGCGUUGCCUUGUCUCUUCCCGGCGCGGCGAGCCGUCGCCACUUGCCGGCACCGUGCCCACUGUCGUCGGGUAGCCUGAAAAGAUCGAACAGGUGAUCCAGGUUAACAACAAACUGAACUUGAGAAAAUAACACUAAACAAACAAGUUGUUUUAUAUUAAAUCGGCGACAAUUAAUAUGGAUAGGAGAGAGCGGCAUUUUUUCCAGCAUCAGGAGGGAGAGUGAACAUUCUAAGUAUUUUUUGCUGCAUCUGGAGUAGCAAUUAACUAAUCGGGCAGCAGCUUAGUUACCUGCCGGUGGCUGCAGGUCCCUGUGGUUGCUCUCCAUCCUUCUAUACUUGCACAAUCUCUGGCUCCGAGGCUUCUUCGAGCACUCGAUUGUUGUCGUUCGAUCGUG